GAUGAAGAACGCAGCGAAAUGCGAUAAGUAAUGUGAAUUGCAGAAUUCAGUGAAUCAUCGAAUCUUUGAACGCACAUUGCGCCCGCCAGUAUUCUGGCGGGCAUGCCUGUUCGAGCGUCAUUUCAACCAUCAAGCCCCAGGCUUGUGUUGGGGACCUGCGGCUGCCGCAGGCCCUGAAAACCAGUGGCGGGCUCGCUGUCACACCGGGCGUAGUAGAUUUUAUCUCGCUCAGGGCGUGCUGCGGGUUCCGGCCGUUAAAAAGCCUUUUUUACCCAAGGUUGACCUCGGAUCAGGUAGGAAGCCCCGCUGAACUUAAGCAUAUCAAUAAGCGGAGGA
rnacentral:misc_RNA from 1 species